CCUACGGGUGGCAGCAGUGGGGAAUAUUGCACAAUGGGGGAAAUCCUGAUGCAGCGACGCCGCGUGAAGGAAGACGUCUCUCGGUAUGUAAACUUCCAUUAGUAGGGAAGAAAAUGACGGUACCUGUCUAAGACGCCCCGUCUAACUACGUGCCAGCAACCGCGGGACCACGUAGGGGGCAAGUGUCAUCCGGAUUUACUGGGUGUAAAGGGGGCGUAGGCGGUUUAGCAAGUCAGCAGUGAAAGCCCGGGGUUUAAAUCCGGGACAGUUUUUGAAACUGGUGAACUUGAUUGCAGGAGAGGUAAGUGGAAUUCGUGGUGUAGCGGUGAAAUGCAUAGAUAUUAGGAAGAACUCCGGUGGCGAAGGCAGCUUACUGGA
rnacentral:rRNA from 1 species